UACAGAGGGUGCAAGCGUUGUUCGGAAUUACUGGGCGUAAAGCGCGCGUAGGCGGCCCGAUAAGUCCGCCGUGAAAGCCCAGGGCUCAACCCUGGGAUGCCGGUGGAUACUGUCGGGCUAGAAUCCGGAAGAGGCGAGUGGAAUUCCUGGUGUAGCGGUGAAAUGCGCAGAUAUCAGGAGGAACACCAGUGGCGAAGGCGACUCUUUGGCCUGUAACUGACGCUGAGGCGCGAAAGCGUGGGGAGCAAACAGG
rnacentral:rRNA from 1 species